GACGAACGCUGGCGGCGUGCUUAACACAUGCAAGUCGAACGGAAAGGCCUCUUUCGGGGGGUACUCGAGUGGCGAACGGGUGAGUAACACGUGAGUAACCUGCCCUUGACUUUGGGAUAACUUCAGGAAACUGGGGCUAAUACCGGAUAGGAGCUCCUGCUGCAUGGUGGGGGUUGGAAAGUUUCGGCGGUUGGGGAUGGACUCGCGGCUUAUCAGCUUGUUGGUGGGGUAGUGGCUUACCAAGGCUUUGACGGGUAGCCGGCCUGAGAGGGUGACCGGCCACAUUGGGACUGAGAUGCGGCCCAGACUCCUACGGGAGGCAGCAGUGGGGAAUAUUGCACAAUGGGUGGAAGCCUGAUGCAGCAACGCCGCGUGCGGGAUGACGGCCUUCGGGUUGUAAACCGCUUUCGCUCAUGACGAAGCUUUGUGUGACGGUAGUGGGUAAAGAAGCACCGGCUAACUACGUG
rnacentral:rRNA from 1 species